GGGUUGAUCCGAGGCCGGAGGUUGCUUUGCAAGCAGCAGGUCACCGGUUCGAGACCGGUACGCUCCA
rnacentral:tRNA from 1 species